CCUACGGGAGGCAGCAGUGGGGAAUAUUGCACAAUGGGGGAAACCCUGAUGCAGCGACGCCGCGUGAGUGAAGAAGUAUUUCGGUAUGUAAAGCUCUAUCAGCAGGAACGAGACAAGACGGUACCUGACUAAGAAGCCCCGGCUAACUACGUGCCAGCAGCCGCGGUAAUACGUAGGGGGCAAGCGUUAUCCGGAAUCACUGGGUGGAAAGGGAGCGUAGACGGCUGAGCAAGCCUGAAGUGAAAGGCGGGGGCCCAACCCCCGGACUGCUUUGGGAACUGUACGGCUGGAGUGCAGGAGAGGUAAGUGGAAUUCCUAGUGUAGCGGUGAAAUGCGUAGAUAUUAGGAGGAACACCAGUGGCGAAGGCGGCUGACUGGACUGUAACUGACGUUGAGGCUCGAAAGCGUGGGGAGCAAACAGGAUUAGAUACCCGGGUAGUC
rnacentral:rRNA from 1 species